GUUGGAUAAAUGGCAAAUCCGCUCACAACUUAUAUAAUAAUUUACAAUAUAUGAACGCUGAUUCCAAAAUUUUCUCUGGUGAUGUAUACAUUUUAUUAUUAUGUUGUUUGAAACAAUUUAAGAUCUACAAUUAUUAAUUUGACUAGAAAAAAAGAAAAAAGAAAAAAGAAGAAUCUGCUGCACGAUUUAUUAAUUUGUUACAAAAGAAAGCCCUUAACAAGAAAGUAUUUCGGCCGCCGUGCUGCUGGGGCUGAAGCCAUAAUUAAAUAAUUAUAGCCGCAUUCACAUCCUCUGCUGCAUGAUCUUUAAUGAGGUUGCUAGAUUUUGAGCAAUGAAAAAGGUCACAAAUUUGUCAAAAAAGAUGUCAAUAUAAAUACACACACACACACACACACACACUGUUAUAACAAAAGUAAAAAUUGCAGAUAACAUCAAAUAAAUGAAUGCCAAGCAGCAAGGCAACAGAAAUGAAAAAGUAAAUGGAGAGAAAAAGACGAGGAAGGCAGAGAGCCAGGGAAGAGGCAGUGCAUGGGAGGAGCCAAAACAGAGAACCUGUUAAUGGUUCCAUCCAUGCUCUGCCUGUUCCCCGUCUUUUGUCUCUUGCUUCUUGCCUCUCUCUCACGCACACACCAAAGAGUUAUUAUUACCUCGUACCCCCCUUACCAUUGCCGUCUCAGAGUCCGGCUCUCACUCCCUCAAAAACCUUACCUGGGCUACAAUGCUCAGGCUCAGGCUCAGGCUCACAAAGGAAGAUAACAAGUGUUGAUGUUAAAUAGUACACGCAUGUUAUGUACUAUCGCAUCCUCCGUGGACUAGCUGCCCGUGUACUACCAAUUUCAUAUAAAUGUUUUGAUUUUGAAUAUCGGGAGGAGCACCUAAAACUUCCCCAUGUACUACACACGCACCGCGCUUACUUUCUUGUACUACUCAUGGAUUAUGAUGGUACUCCAUCCACUCCCACUAUUCUCCCUCUCACUAACAAACUAAUUAUUAAUUAUUUCUUAUUUCUUUUUCAGCUUAGGCUAACAGCUCACUGUUGAUCCCUUUCCAUAAUUCGGUAAAUCUUGUUAAAGGAUUUCCCAACCAAUUAAUAAUGGGAAAUUAUUCACCAACCACUUGUUUUUUUUAGUUUUUUUUUAAAAUACACAUUUUUUUUUAGUUGAUUUCUACUAAAAGUUUUUUUUUUUUUGCACUUUUCCACUUCCGUUUGUAUUCUGUUGUAACUUUACUGAUGUUAUAGGGGUAAAUUUGUCAUUUCACUUACAUAGCAAAAAUAAACGUCAUUUAAAUGCGGUAAAAAGAGUAAAAAAAAGUGAAAAUAUUCUAGAUUAUUUUGUUUAACUUAUUAUUUAAUGUCUAAAUUGCAAAGAAAAAGUGAAGCAAUUUAAUUUUUUUAUUUAAUUAUGGUGAAAUAGUAAUUUUACAUUAAGAGGUAAAAUAAUCAUUUUGUUAAUAUUUUGUUAACUUCUCUUACGAAAUUUAGACGACAAUGAAAAAAUGAUACAUUUUAUAACUUCUGGUGGAAAUUAAUUAAAAAAAAAGUUAUAUGCAUUUUUAAAAAAAUCUAAAAAAACAGGUAGUCGGUGAAUAAUUAUCUGAUAAUUGUCCAUUAUUAUAUUUAUUUGGCCUGGCUUCUUAAAUAAAAUUUUACAGCUAAGAGAAUCUAUAGUGCAAGGAACUAAACACUUAAUAAAUUCACAUAACUUUAUUACGAAACCCGGAGCAUAACAGUCGUACUGAGAUAAUGCGAAGAAAAAGUUAAGCAGCA
rnacentral:lncRNA from 1 species